AGCAGCCGCGGUAAUUCCAGCUCCAAUAGCGUAUAUUAAAGUUGCUGCAGUUAAAAAGCUCGUAGUUGAAUUUUUGAUUCUACCAAUUGGUCCAUCUUUUAGAUGAGUACUGGUUGUGUGGGGUCUAUCCGCCUGGUGAUACGUAAUGUCCUUUAUUGGAUGUUGCGGGUAGUCAGGACCUUUACCUUGAAAAAAUUAGAGUGUUUAAAGCAGGCUUAUGCCGGAAUACAUUAGCAUGGAAUAAUAGAAUAGGACGAAGUUGUUUUAUUUUGUUGGUUUCUAGGACAACCGUAAUGAUUAAUAGGGAUAGUUGGGGGCAUUAGUAUUCAAUUGUCGGAGGUGAAAUUCUUGGAUUUAUUGAAGACUAACUACUGCGAAAGCAUUUGCCAAGGAUGUUUUCAUUAAUCAAGAACGAAAGUUAGGGGAUCGAAGACGAUCAGAUACCGUCGUAGUCUUAACCAUAAACUAUGCCGACUAGGGAUCGGGCGAUGUUGUUUCCAUGACUCGCUCGGCACCUUAU
rnacentral:rRNA from 1 species